CGACUCGCCGCAGGGUUGGCGGACUUGAGAAGGAGCGAAGAUGGCGGAGUGAGGCGUACCGCUACUGACUGGCCUUUGGGCCGGGGGCGGGUCGGCCCCCGGGAGGCCGAGUGCAUCUGGCGGACCGUGGGAGGUGAGCCGAGAAGGCCGGCGACGGAAGGAUGAACAGGCGGUGAGGAGGUUGCUUAUCACAGGAAGAACAUUUUCCUUGACCUUUAGGUGCUUUUAUAUUCAUCUCAAAAACAAAAUGCUGAACUCAGGACUUGGAAAGUAUCUCUAAGUUGUCUCCUAGAGCGAGUAGUCCUGCUUCUUUUAUCCAGCCACUUUAUUCUUGAAAUGUGGAUAUCUCUUCUCUACACAGUACCUCCAUGAUUUGGAAUGGAAAAGACCAGGGUUUUUUUUUUGUUCCACCUCUCAGAUUCAACACAGAGAAGCCCUUAAGAUGCGGUUAUCCUGCCUACUUCUCCAGGAAGAGAGAAGCAACUGACAUGGGUCUUCUGCUGCUGUUUGCUUAAUUAUAAAGAAUUAUUUUACAAGC